rnacentral:rRNA from 1 species
UACAGAGGUCCCAAGCGUUGUUCGGAUUCACUGGGCGUAAAGGGUGCGUAGGCGGUUGGACAAGUCUGAUGUGAAAUCCCGCAGCUUAACUGCGGAACGGCAUUGGAAACUGUCUGACUAGAGGAAUGGAGGGGAGACUGGAAUACUUGGUGUAGCAGUGAAAUGCGUAGAUAUCAAGUGGAACACCAGUGGCGAAGACGAAUCUCUGGACAUUUCCUGACGCUAAAACACGAAAGCCAGGGGAGCAAACGGG